rnacentral:lncRNA from 1 species
AUUUAUGCAAGCAGAUAAAAGACAAAGGAUGAAGUGCUUUGAGGCCUGUGCAAGCAAAUAAAUGCUAAAGGAUGGAGUGCUUUGAGAUUUGUGUAGGUAGAUGAAUGCUAGAGGAUAGAGUGCUUUGAGAUCUAUGCAGAUGGAUGGAUGAAAAAGAAUGGAGUGUUUUCAGCUCUGUGCAAGUGGAUGGAUGAUGAAGGAUAGACCACUUUGAGAUUUAUGCAAGCAAAUGGA